rnacentral:lncRNA from 1 species
AAAAAAAAAAAAAAAGAAGGUAACUAAAAUGCCUUUUAUAAUAAAAAAAAAAUUAUAUAUUUUGUAUCUUUUAACCGAUUAACUACUAGUCCCACUCGAAUUUGAGAAUUAAAGUUGGGUGUACUCUUUCUUCGAGUAGUAUUGCUGCCGUCUUUUUUGCAGCUUUUGUAGUUGCUGAACCAUACCACAUAGUUCCGGCAACUACAAAAGCUGCAAAAAAGACAACAGCAAUUACAAGUCAUUUUCGGAUGUAAUUGAAGGCAAAGAGGGAAGAUUUCGUGAGGGCAAAUGGGUCGAUUAUUUGGGGGCGUUCUGUCAUUGUCGUAGGUCCUUCACUUUCAUUACAUUGAUGUGGAUUCCCUCGCGAAAUAGCAAUAGAGCUUUUUCAGACAUUUGUGCAACUGGUACAUUCCAAAAUAGCUGUUACUCGGACAUCUUUACCCUUGGCCAUGAACCUCCUUUGGUUUAUGAUUCACUCAAUUCUUUAAUUUUCCGAUCCGAAGCAAGGAAGAAUAAAGGACAAAAAAACUAAAAAAAAUAGAAGCAGGUAACUCGAAAUCAAAUUAUAAAAGAAAGAUUUCAUUGCAAUCAAUAUAGUAAUAAUAAGUAAUAGAAUGAUUUCUAACUAUAUUUAUAAUUCAGAAUUGCCGUACAAUAUUUUCAGUUAAGUAUCUUGUAUGAUAUUGUUGCUCCGUUGUAAAUAUUAGGCAUUUUGCCCAGUGGAAAAGCUACAUCCAGUACCGGACCAAUGAUUUGAGCGAUACGCCCGAAGUUUUUUUUUUUUUUUUCAAGUGCCGGAACCCCAGGACUAGAAGUAGUAGGAUUUAUUCUCAUAAUAAAAUAUGUCGAAAUUUUUUGCAAAAAUUACUGAAAUCAAAAAUAAAUUCGAUAGCAAAACAAAUUAAGUUGAUCGAUUAAUUCAAUAAGAAAUGGGCUUUAGCGCUCGAUUUCGUUGUUACCAUCCAACUGAAUCCAAUCCAAUUGUUUACUUAUUCAGUGAAUUGAAACAUUCAAACAAAAUCCAUUUUCAAAAUAGCAAGUGUAUGAAUAAAAUAUGAUAAAGUCAUCAAAAUGAAGAAACACGUUCAAUAAAAAAUAUUUAUUCUUCUCCAAUUUUUUUUUUCUUACGAGUUGACUCGCUUCUUUCAAAUUGUUUCUCAUUAUUAAGAAAAGGUAACAGAGAUAAAAUACAGAGCCAAUUCCAAUAGACUUAUUGGAGGGUCCCAUUGGCGUGCAUCCAGUAGGAAUUGAACCUACGAAUUCGCCAAUUAUGUAACAUCACACAUUGACCAACGGAGAGGGAAUGAUGUGCCUUAUAUGUACAUGCCCCCCUCCAUCUAGCACGAGGCCUUUUGGGAGCUCACUGGCUUCGGAGUCAUAGGAACUCCGAAGUUAAGCGAGUUGGGGCUAGAGCAAUCCCAGGAUGGAUGACCCACUGGGAAGUUGCUCGUGAGUUCCUAGAAACAAAACCGUGAGGGCAGAGAUGGGGGCCCAAAGUGGACAAUAUCGUGCUACGACAGAGCCAAUCCCAGGAUGUGACAAAUUAUGAGUUGGGCGCUUUAACCAUUCAGCCAUGAAUGCUUAGCGGGGAUCCUCGUACAUGGUGAAUAACCAAAUUCCAACCCUUGGAACAUACUACAGCCCCAGGUGGUGAAGAGCCGACAUCGAGGUUCUUUGGAUUUUUAGUCAUUAAUAUAUCUAUUCAUUGAAUAAGUGAUGAUCCAACGGUUCUUACUAAGGGAAUUUUGGGACUUAGUUUGAAAGGGUUUUAUUGAAUCAUUGUGGUUUUAGUAUGAAUUUGAGGUUUUAAUCAAUUAAUAAGGUCUUAACAAGAUAAUUCCUAUCAAUAAUAAAGAAAACAGCAGUAAAGCCGCACUACACAUAAAUAACAACAAAUAAAAUAGGUAAAUAGAAGAUUCAAGAGGCCUAUAACGAUCAAUAUAUAGACGAAUGAGCCGACUUGAUUUUUUGGCAUUAUAACCACAAAGAGGAAAAGAGAUGGUUGAAUCAAAAUAAUUCCUUUAAAAUUUCUAUUUCUUUCAGAGGGUAAUAUGAAUGUUCUAUUAUGUUCUAUCAAAACACUAGAAGGGUUGUACGAUAUAUCCGGUGUGGAAGUAGGCCAACAUUCCUAUUGGCCUUUGGCCAACACCCCUGGGUGUGGUGUGGUCUGUUGACUCCAAUCUAUUUUACAGGGAGCUCGGAAGAAGGAGAAGAAGGAAGUUCAAAGGGUGAAGAAUCUAUCUGCGAAUAUUCUCCCAUGUGAAUAUGAAUGUUUGCACAAACAGAUAUCUUUCAAGGAUGGAACAAACAAAAUGUGGACUGUUUGGACUAUAAAACUACAUUUUGAGUUGUAUCUAGAAUGGAAAUUUACUGGAUUAUGGUAUGUAUGGUUGAAGUUAGGUGUGGGCUUGUUUAUGGGAUCUCUCCAAGUCAAGUAAUAGAAAUUAGGUAUGUUUGUAUAGGGAAAAUAUGAUAAAUAAAUAAAAAGGGCUAAGGACAAAACACCCUACACAUGUUUGAGGUCAUUCUUAUAAACUCUCGAGUUUCAAUUUCAUCGAUUUACACUCCAUAGUUUUCAAAUCUAACCAAUUUUCGACUUUCGUUAAGUUGACUGUUUAGUCAAACGACAGGCCCAUUAAGGGACCCACCCACUAACCAACUCCUAUAUUUUUUAUUAUAUAAAUUGAUAAAAAUAGCAUAAUUAAAAACAAACUUAAAAAACCUAGAUGCACAACCUUCCCCACCCCUUCUCGACGACGUACAACCACACCCAUCCCAACUUAGAGGUGUCAAACGGACCGAGGCGGCCCAAGCACAGCUCGUUUAAGUAAGGCCUAGCAAAGACGACUUGUAUCUUUGGGCAUGUCGAGAUGAAGUAAUUAGGCCCAAUGCGUCUAGGUUUUUUAAGUUUUUUUUUUUUUUUUCACAUAAUGCUAUUUUAUCAUUUUAUAUAAAUAAAAUUUAGAAUUGGUUAGUGGGUGGGUUCCACAGUAGACACGUCAUGAUCAAACGGUCAACUUAAAGGAAUGCGUAAAUUGGUUAGAUUUGAAAACUAUGAGGUGUAAAUGGAAGAAAUUGAAACCCGAAGGUCCAUAUUGAGAAUGACCCCAAAUAUGCAGGGGUUGUUUUGUCGUUAGCCUGUAAAAAAUGAAAAAGCCCUCCAAAAUAAAGGGAUGCAUAAGCCGGUUAAUAUUUUUUCAAAAGGACACAACAAAUGGGCAAGGACUAAAGCAUAAGGACAUGUAGGAUCCUAAUCUCCACCAAAAGAAAACAAUACAUGCCCAAUAUGUUAUAGGCAUCAAAGGGUGGUUGGUGUCUCUCCCACCACUGCUUUUCAGCUACUAUUCCUUGUCUUGCAGGGAUUGGCAGUACACCACAAAGUACUAUAAUCAUCCAACGAUUAGCCUAUUCUCGCACAGGUACGUUCUUAUGCUUGGCCUGCUUCUAUUCUCGCACAAGUACGUUCUUGGGCUUGUAACUUUAUUUGGACUGGUUGUGCGGAUUCUCGUGAGUUUUCAACAGUUGCAUAGAAAAAAAUGUUGUGUUCCUUAUUGUGAAGGGGGUCUUGGUCUUCGCAAUUUUGCCUCCUUAAUUAAGGAUUUUCUCCUAAAAAGGUUGUGGGAUAUUUUGACUACUUCUUCUAUGGCUGCAAUUUUUUUCCGAGGUCAAUUUUUUAACAGCUUCGGACUGCCUUGUUUGUGCUCUAAGUGUUCAUCGAUCUAGCCUGGUUUGCAUCCUCUUUUUAGGGAUAUUGUUUCUCACUCACUUUGGACUAUUGGUAUUGGUGAACAUGUUUCUUUUUGGCAUGCAGUUUGGUUAGUUGAGCUCAUUGUGGAUGCUUUAGGUAUUCUGGUGUAUAUGCGAAAAUUCUGAAAGCUAAAGUCUUAGAUUUCAUUUUGAAUGGUCGUAGGUGUCAGCCUACUUCUUUUCAUAAUUAGAUGCGACCCAUUUGGAAUCAAGUACUUUCUAUUACAUUACCUGCGAGGGCUGGAGUGUUGGACAAUUAUAUUUGGACUAACGCUUCUGAUGGUCAUCUCACAUUAGCCCAGGCGUAUGAUUUUAAGCAUAGCAAACAACCUCUUAUUACUUGGGACUGCUGGGUUAGGCGUUCUUGUUAUCACUCUCAUAAUUCCUUUCUUUUAUGGAAGUAUUUGCAUGGUAAACGUGUCACUCACUCUCUUUUGCAAGAUCGAGAAUACACUUGGCCAUCCAUAUGCUCUUUAUGUCACUAUGGGGUUGAAACGCAUUCUCAUCUCUUUUUUUGUUGUACUUUUUCUCGUCAAAUUUGGUCAGCUUGUUUGAGUUGGUUUCAAGUGGGGAUUCUUUUUAAUGAUAUUUUCACCCUUUUUUCAUUUCCAUCAUGGUUUUGGCUCCCAAGUUCAAAUUUUAUGGUGGGGGAUGAUUGGAGCUGGUUGCUAUUCUAUUUGGGCCGCUCGUAAUGCAGUGCGUUUUGACAAGCUCUAUCGCCCAGUUUCCUUUAUCGUUCAUGCUAUUAAGUUGCAGUUGGUUGAGAUUGACUCGCUUAGCAUAGGAACUAUGAGCAACUCUGUGUCUGAUCUUUGUAUUCUUCGAGCUAUUGGGGUUCAAGGGCGUCGAGGUAAGGCUCCGUGUAUUCUUGAAGUGAUUUGGCUUCCUCCUCAAAUUUCUUGGAUUAAGGUCAACAUUGAUGGUGCUGCUCGUGGUAGCCGUGGUUUAGCUGGUCUUGGAGGGUAUUUUUCGAGAUCAUUUUGGCAAUUGUUUUGGUUGUUUUACUGCUUCUCUUGGACCUGCUUCUUCUUUGGAGGUGGAGUUGCAUGCCGUUAUCCAUGUUGUGGAUAUAGCUAGGGAAAAAGGUUGGAAUUACUUGUGGAUUUACUGUGAUUCUUCUCUAGCUGUUCUUUUUCUUUCUUCUUUGGAUCGUCAGAUACCAUGGCGUUUGUGCAUUCGUUGGUUUAACUGUCUAGCUUUGUUCUCCCGAAUGCAUGUUCUCGUCGCUCAUAUUUUUCGGGAAGGUAAUGAGGUUGUUGAUUGUCUAGCUAAUUCCUUGGGAAAUUUUAUUGGGACUCUUGUUCCCAUUGUGCGACUUUUGCUUUGUUUGUUUUUUUUUUUUUUUUCAUAACUUUCUUCUCGACCUAAUUAUAGGUUUUGCUAGCUUGGUUAGUUUCUUAUCUAUUGGCGCUUGCGCCUUCUAUAUUUCUUUGCGGGGUUUUGGCUCUUCAUCCCCCCUAAUGUAUUAUUUUUUCCUCAUUUUUUAUUAAUAAUAUAAGGGGUCCCGGAAGUGUAGGUCUCUUCUCCUUCGGGAUUGAGGGUGGAUGCUUGCCUUCACUGAGGUGCUAAUCUCACAUAAUCCUCUAUUAUUUAAAAAUAAAUAAAAAUCCAAAGAUCGCCCAUAAUGAAGGGUUGACUUUUGUUGAUUGCAUUUUGAUUGGUUGUGUGAAUUUCACACAUCAACAUGUGGUGCCGUCUACGAGAACGAUUGAUUCCUCACCAGCCUUUGUACUAGACCGGAGCAGCAAGUCUUCCACUCAAUCCCUUUUCUAGCUGCUUUUAGUGUAAGAUGAAGAACAUAUUCAGGUACUGGACGUUCACAAGGAGCACAAGCCAACUCCUAGUCAGAGGAAGAAGCAAGCGAGCACCAGACGAGGCAAAAACUCAAUUGAGAGAAUUAGAUGUCUAAGCUUAUUUCUACAAAUCAAAAGCUUGUAGUGACAAACGAGAAGUAGUCUCGAUUUCCUUGAACCCUCGGGAAGACCUUUUUCCCAAAAGAACAGGCAAAGGGGGUGCCCCAUAAUCAUCAUGAGCGAAUGACGAGUACUAAUCUCAGGCAUGUUCGUAACUGCAUCCUGCCUAAUCGCACGCACGAAGAGGCAUCUAAUUCUCUCAGUUGAGGAAUUGUUCAAAAGCGAGCACCGGACGAGGCAAAAACUCAACCGCGUCUUCAUUUUUGUGCAACAAGAGGUGUGGCAAUUAGACCUAGCAAUAUUGUACACGACUUGUUAACACGACAUGAUUUCUCAUCCAAAAAAAAAAAAUCAGUAUUCAGGUUAGGACUUAAUGGGUCAUGUUGAAAAUAAGUGGCCAUGUUAGCCACUUGUUAAGCUAACGGGUCUUAUCGUGUGAAUUCUCGAAUACCCGUUAUCACCAUUAAAAAGAGAGGUAGUCUUUUAAUUUUAUAUCCUUCUCUUUUUGCUUUUUCUUUUUACUCUUAUUUUUUACAUAUAAUUAAAUAAAAAUAAUAGCAGGUGAACCUCAUCUUCCCCUCCAUCAGUUAAAAAGAGGUGGGUCUACCAUGGCUGCAUAGCUUGAAAAUUUCUUACGCGAUAUUAUUUUUAUAUAAACCGCAAAACUUCCUAGUUGAGAAAAUUUGAGUAUUUGACAUGGUUGCAAAAAGAAAAAGAGGAAUAGUAUAUUAGUCCAUUGGUUGAAGUUUUGAGAUCGAAAUGGUCAAAUGUUCUUGGCUGAGUUUGUUUCUGCGAAAAGUAUGUGAGUCCGUUUUCACCAUAUCCCUUCACCGCAAACAACCACUUAUCCUUUCAAUUCAUGCCUUAUUCAAUCAACCGCAUAAGAUGAUUCCGCUUUUAGCUUUAUGUGGUUUUGUGGUUAAUUUUUACUUUUUAAAAGUAUUAUUAGGAUUUUUAUUGCAAAUGGUCCCUGAGGUUUGCGAAAUUGUUGCCUUUCAUCUGUAAAUUUAUUUUUGUGACAUUAAUGGUUCUUAAGGUUACUGUCUGUAUAACAAUUUGGUCUCUAUAGUUAGAUUUUGUCAAAUUUUCUGUUAAGUGACUGACAUGGCACAUAUGUGGAGCCCACACAUCUAAUGAUAUAGAUUUGGGCAUUAUAUCAUUCACAUAUUUGGGAUUUCGGGAACCCUUAUGGUCGACAACAACCCUGUGUUUAUCCUGUCCAUGGUAAAGGAGUACACUGGUAUUUUGGGAAUCAUAUUGGUUCAUUCAACUCCGUAUUACCCCCAAUAUAACGGCCAUGCCAAAGCAAUUACCAAGAUAGUCAAGGGCAUCCUUAAGAAAAUGAUCAAAGAUAAACCCAAGUCUUGGUAUGAUUUGUUAUCAGAGACAUUAUGGCCUUACCGAAUUUCCAAGUGUACGGCCACAGGCACAUCACAGUAUGCUUUGACUUAUGGCUACGACACCAUUUUGCCAAUGGAAGUAAAUGUUCGGUCAUUAUUUAUAUAAAAAUAAAUAUAUAAUAUAUAUAUAUAAAGAAUAUUUCCAAAAAUAUUGGAUAUUUGAAUAUUAAAUUUCGAUCUAUUUCUCAAAUAUAUGUUUAUCGAUAAUUAAUAUCUUAAUUAGCUUAAUUAAAUAGUAAGAUUUUUUUUUACUAUUCUAUAGUACUAUGUUUUUUUGAUAUUUUAUUAUAUUUCAUAUAUAUUAUAUAUGAAAUAUAUUUUAAUUUUUUUAUAUAUUUUAUUUAGAAUUAUCUUCUAAUUAUAAAUUAACGGAAUGAUUGUUUAUAGCCAUUUUAUUAGUUAUGGCUAGUAAUUAAAUUUUAAAUUAAUAAUACUCAAAUUUUCCUUUUUUUGUUAUGUUAUUAGAGGGUCUGCCCUAAGAAAAGGAUAAGAAUAAAAUGAAAGAUAAAAGUGUAAUUCAGAUCAUAAUGAAACACUCCUCUGGUUUCAUUCGAAAAGGCGAAAGCUAAUAUGAAAAAAAAAAAAAAAGAAUCGACCGUUCAAGUAUUAAAAAUUGCACGGAUAGAAAUAGGGGCAUAUCUAAGUAUAAUAAAUAUUAUAUAUAUAGUAUAAUAUAUAUGUUAUGCGGUAUAUAUCUAUAUUGAAUUUCUGAUAUAGAAAUGUGAUAUAGAAAUGAUAGAAUCAUUUCUGAUUGGACCAAAUACUGGUCUCCGAUAGAGAUCAAAGAAAAUAGACAAGAAAUCAAAUAGUAGAAAACACUUUUCAAUAUAGGAACCGGUAUCUAAUGAAUUCAACGGUUCCAGCAUAAUAUAAAUGAAAGAAAAAAGGGUGACGGCAUCAUAAUGUGAUCCUAAUCACAUCACAAAACAAAAAAGGGGAUAUGGCGAAAUUGGUAGACGCUACGGACUUAAUUGGAUUGAGCCUUGGUAUGGAAACCUACCAAGUGAGAACUUUCAAAUUCAGAGAAACCCUGGAAUUAAAAAUGGGCGAUCCUGAGCCAAAUCCUGUUUUAUUAAAACAAACAAGGGUUUCAUAAACCGAGAAUAAAAAAGGAUAGGUGCAGAGACUCAAUGGAAGCUGUUCUAACAAAUGGAGUUGGCUGCAUUGUGUUAGUAAAGGAAUCCUUACAUCGAAACUUCCGAAAGGAUGAAGGAUAAACCUAUAUGCAUACGUAUAGUACUGCAAUAGUAUCUCCAAAUGAUUAAUGACGGCUCGAAUCUGUAUUUUUUUAUAUUUAUAUGAAAAACGAAAGAAUUGUUGUGAAUCAAUUAAAAAUUGAAAAAAGAAUCGAAUAUUCAUUGAUCAAAUCAUUCACUCCAUCAUAGUCUGAUAGAUCUUUUUAAGAAUUGAUUAAUCGGACGAGAAUAAAGAUAGAGUCCCAUUAUACAUGUCAAUAUCGACAACAAUGAAAUUUAUAGUAAGAGGAAAAUCCGUCGACUUUAGAAAUCGUGAGGGUUCAAGUCCCUCUAUCCCCAAAACGAAACGGUUGACUCCCUAAUUAUUUAUCUUUUAUCAUUUUGUUAGCGAUUCAAAAUUCGUUAUGUUUCUCAUUCAUUCUACUCUUUCACAAACGGAUCUGAGCGGAAAUUUUUUUCUUAUCACAAGCCUCGUGUGUUAUAUAUAUGAUACACGUACAAACGAACAUCUUUGAGCAAGGAAUCCCCAUUUAAAAUUUAAUUUGAAUAAUUAACAAUAUAUACCAUUACUUGUACUGAAACUUAG